UACAGAGGUCUCAAGCGUUGUUCGGAUUCAUUGGGCGUAAAGGGUGCGUAGGUGGCGCCGUAAGUCGGGUGUGAAAUUUCGGAGCUUAACUCCGAAACUGCAUUCGAUACUGCGGCGCUUGAGGACUGGAGAGGAGACUGGAAUUCAUGGUGUAGCAGUGAAAUGCGUAGAGAUCAUGAAGAACACCAAUGGCGAAGGCAGCUCUCUGGGACGGUACUGACGCUGAGACGCGAAAGCGUGGGGAGCGAACAGG
rnacentral:rRNA from 1 species